ACGGGUGAGUAACGCGUGGGAAUCUACCGUACCCUACGGAAUAGCUCCGGGAAACUGGAAGUAAUACCGUAUACGCCCUUUGGGGGAAAGAUUUAUCGGGGUAUGAUGAGCCCGCGUUGGAUUAGCUAGUUGGUGGGGUAAAGGCCUACCAAGGCGACGAUCCAUAGCUGGUCUGAGAGGAUGAUCAGCCACAUUGGGACUGAGACACGGCCCAAACUCCUACGGGAGGCAGCAGUGGGGAAUAUUGGACAAUGGGGGCAACCCUGAUCCAGCCAUGCCGCGUGAGUGAUGAAGGUCUUAGGAUUGUAAAGCUCUUUCACCGAUGAAGAUAAUGACGGUAGUCGGAGAAGAAGCCCCGGCAAACUUCGUGCCAGCAGCCGCGGUAAUACGAAGGGGGCUAGCGUUGUUCGGAAUUACUGGGCGUAAAGCGCACGUAGGCGGAUAAUUAAGUCAGGGGUGAAAUCCCGCAGCUCAACUGCGGAACUGCCUUUGAUACUGGUUAUCUUGAGUAUGGAAGAGGUAAGUGGAAUUGCGAGU
rnacentral:rRNA from 1 species